rnacentral:rRNA from 1 species
GACAGAGGGUGCAAACGUUGCUCGGAAUUACUGGGCGUAAAGCGCGUGUAGGCUGACCGGAAGGUCGGGCGUGAAAGCCCUGGGCUCAACCCAGGAACUGCACUCGAAACUCCCGGUCUAGAGUGGCGGAGAGGGAAGUGGAAUUCCUGGUGUAGAGGUGAAAUACGUAGAUAUCAGGAGGAACACCAGUGGCGAAGGCGGCUUCCUGGACACCAACUGGCGCUGAGACGCGAAAGCGUGGGGAGCAAACAGG